rnacentral:rRNA from 1 species
AUUGAACGCUGGCGGCAUGCCUUACACAUGCAAGUCGAACGGCAGCACGGGAGCAAUCCUGGUGGCGAGUGGCGAACGGGUGAGUAAAGUAUCGGAACGUGCCCAGUCGUGGGGGACAACGUAGCGAAAGUUACGCUAAUACCGCAUACGAUCUAUGGAUGAAAGCGGGGGAUCGCAAGACCUCGCGCGAUUGGAGCGGCCGAUAUCAGAUUAGGUAGUUGGUGGGGUAAAGGCUCACCAAGCCGACGAUCUGUAGCUGGUCUGAGAGGACGACCAGCCACACUGGGACUGAGACACGGCCCAGACUCCUACGGGAGGCAGCAGUGGGGAAUUUUGGACAAUGGGCGCAAGCCUGAUCCAGCCAUGCCGCGUGCAGGAUGAAGGCCUUCGGGUUGUAAACUGCUUUUGUACGGAACGAAAAGGUUUGGCCUAAUAAGCUGAGCUCAUGACGGUACCGUAAGAAUAAGCACCGGCUAACUACGUGCCAGCCGCCGCAGUAA